rnacentral:rRNA from 1 species
AUUGAACGCUGGCGGCAUGCUUUACACAUGCAAGUCGAACGGCAGCGGGGUAGUGCUUGCACUACUGCCGGCGAGUGGCGAACGGGUGAGUAAUAUAUCGGAACGUACCGAGUAAUGGGGGAUAACCAAUCGAAAGAUUGGCUAAUACCGCAUACGUCCUGAGGGAGAAAGCGGGGGAUCGCAAGACCUCGCGUUAUUCGAGCGGCCGAUAACUGAUUAGCUAGUUGGUGGGGUAAAGGCCUACCAAGGCGACGAUCAGUAGCGAGUCUGAGAGGACGAUCCGCCACACUGGGACUGAGACACGGCCCAGACUCCUACGGGAGGCAGCAGUGGGGAAUUUUGGACAAUGGGGGCAACCCUGAUCCAGCCAUGCCGCGUGUAUGAAGAAGGCCUUCGGGUUGUAAAGUACUUUUGUUAGGGAAGAAAAGGGAAGUGCUAAUACCACUUUUUGCUGACGGUACCUAAAGAAUAAGCACCGGCUAACUACGUG